rnacentral:rRNA from 1 species
AUUGAACGCUGGCGGCAUGCCUUACACAUGCAAGUCGAACGGCAGCACGGGAGCAAUCCUGGUGGCGAGUGGCGAACGGGUGAGUAAUAUAUCGGAACGUGCCCGGUCGUGGGGAUAACGUAGCGAAAGCUACGCUAAUACCGCAUACGAUCUACGGAUGAAAGCGGGGGAUCGCAAGACCUCGCGCGAUUGGAGCGGCCGAUAUCAGAUUAGGUAGUUGGUGAGGUAAAGGCUCACCAAGCCGACGAUCUGUAGCUGGUCUGAGAGGACGACCAGCCACACUGGGACUGAGACACGGCCCAGACUCCUACGGGAGGCAGCAGUGGGGAAUUUGGACAAUGGCGCAAGCCCUGAUCCAGCAAUGCCGCGUGCAGGAUGAAGGCCUCGGUUGUAAC